AGUAAAUUAGGAGAAACCCCUGAAUCUUGACUUGGGUAUCUGUAAGGACGGAUAGUGUACUUCCAGACUUCUUUAACAGUGUUUGAUCGAACUGUUUCAAGUGUCUGCAGCUGUACGAACACCCUGGGCUCCCCAUGCCCGGCCACCUUAACGAGGGAAGCUGCAGUGUUGUCCUAGCAGUAGGGACAAUCGAUAACAAGAAGCCAGUGCUCAAUGCAGGCAUCCCAGUUCCUUCAGGUUUAUGUGGAAAACC